rnacentral:rRNA from 1 species
UGAAUACGAGAUGCUACGGCGUCGAAGCAGUCUAUGUCAUACUUCCAAGAAAAGCUUGCACUGUCAUAAACAAAUAAUGCCUGUACCAUAACCGACACAGGUGGGUAGGUAGAGUAUACUAAGGGGCGCGAGAUAACUCUCUCUAAGGAACUCGGCAAAAUGACUCCGUAACUUCGGGAGAAGGAGUGCCUUAUUUAUAAGGUUGCAAUAACAAGAUCCAAGCAACUGUUUACCAAAAACACAGGUCUCCGCUAAGUCGUAAGACGAUGUAUGGGGGCUGACGCCUGCCCAGUGCCAGAAGGUUAAAGAAGUUGGUUAGCAUCCGCGAAGCUGAUAACUGAAGCCCUGGUGAACGGCGGCCGUAACAAUAACGGUCCUAAGGUAGCGAAAUUCCUUGUCGGGUAAGUUCCGACCCGCGCGAAAGGCGUAAUGAUUUGGAUACUGUCUCGGAGAGGGGCUCGGUGAAAUAGACUUGUCUGUGAAGAUGCGGACUACCUGCACCAGGACAGAAAGACCCUAUGAAGCUUUACUGUAACCUGAAAUUGAAAUUGGACUUUACUUGCGCAGUAUAGGUGGGAGGCGUUGAGAAUAUUCUUGCGGGAUUAUUGGAGCCAUCAGUGAGAUACCACUCUUGUAAUGUUAGAUUUCUAACUUUGUAUCAUUAUCUGGUCAAAGAACAGUUUCAGGCGGCAGUUUGACUGGGGCGGUCGCCUCCUAAACGGUAACGGAGGCGCACAAAGAUUUCCUCUGAACGGGUAGAAAUCGUAUCUAGAGUGUAAAGGCAUAAGGAAGCUUGACUGUGAGACCUACAAGUCGAGCAGGGACGAAAGUCGGUCUUAGUGAUCUGACGGUGCUGAGUGGAAAGGCCGUCACUCAACGGAUAAAAGUUACUCUAAGGAUAACAGGCUGAUCUCCCCCAAGAGUUCACAUCGACGGGGAGGUUUGGCACCUCGAUGUCGGCUCAUCGCAUCCUGGGGCGGUAGUACGUCCCAAGGGUUGGGCUGUUCGCCCAUGAAAGCGGUACGCGAGCUGGGUUCAGAACGUCGUGAGACAGUUCGGUCCAUAUCCGGUGUAGGCGUUAGAAUAUUAAGAGGAGCCUUCUUUAGUACGAGAGGACCGAGAAGGACAUACCUCUGGUGUACCAGUUAUCGUGCCAACGGUAAACGCUGGGUAGCUAUGUGUGGAGUGGAUAACCGCUGAAAGCAUCUAAGUGGGAAGCCCACCUCAAGAUAAGUAUUCUC